CUGAACGCAGCAAGCAGCCAGCAGAGCCCCCCGACACGAGACCCGAGUGACCGAGUUGGAGUUCCGAGUUCCGAGCACGAGCACGAGACCAACUACCCAGUCCCCCAGGACUGCCAGUCCUGUCGAUAUGGCAGCACAGAGCACAGAAGCAGUGGGGGUUGCUGUUGUUGUUGGUAACACUGUGCUGUGGAUGUCCUCGUUCCUGUUUCAGGACUCGUUGCGGUUCGACUUCGGGUCGGGUUCGGUUCGGUUUCGGUUUCGGGCUUGGUCCCGCCGCCGCUGCACUCGCUGCGCCAAGAGUUUUGAAGUUUCGAAUCAGUCGCCGCCGACUUGUUGGGUCAUUUGCAUAUAAACGAGACAGCAGCAGCAACCUGCCUGCCAGCCAUCUCUCUCUCUAUCAUCUCCUGUCACCGGAGACCGGAGACAGUGCAAAACAGUCCCUCACGGAGUGCAUUAAUAACCGCAGCAGCCAGUCCAGUAAAUUGUAAAAAUUAAUUAACGAUCAGCGCCUAUCAUAUCAUUUAAUAAUAAUAACGAACCCGCCACUCAGUUCUGACAGUUAAAAGUGAAAGCUCGCACGAAACUUCUUCCGAUCCGCACAGAACUACAAACUAAUGAGAAUUUCAUCAGCUGGCAGAAGGAGAAGAAACGCGAAACAAUAAGUGUUGUGUCGUUGUUUAUUUGCACAGCGGUCGGCCCAAUAAAAAUGCAAUUUUUAUGGUUAGGAAAAUAGAGCGUGGCCACCCCACCACUGCUGCUGCCACUGCUGCUGCAGCACUGCACUGGAUGUUGCAGAGAGAACACCCAACCACCCAACCACCCCCUACCGCAACGUAGCCAACUACCGCUCCAGUAGCAUCGAGCUCUGAUGUAAUACAGAGCAAAAGUGAAGCGGCAAUUGCCAUUGCAACAAAGAAAAAAGAGAUUAUACAAUUUGUAUUGCCGGGCAUCGUGAACUAGGACAGAAGCGGCAGCAAAAGUAGCAGCAAGAGCCACAAACGGAGGCAGAGACUCUGUGAUAAAGACCGGCUGGCAACAGGCUGGCAACGCACACAGACAGACAGCAGGAGGCGGGCAGAGGAACAACUUGCAGCAGCAUUCAAAGUCGGAGCGUGGGAAUUGCAAAUCACAGUUAGGCAGCCACAACGCUCUCGCUUGCUCUCACAGCGCUCACCGCUCUCACAGCGCUCGCCAUACCCUUCCAUAAAAUAUACCCUGUUGUGGGGGGCCUUCCGCUCUCUCCCAGUCUCCCAGUCGGCCAGUCUCGCUUCGCGUAUAUUUGGGGGCGCUUCGGCAGCCCCACACGACAGUUGUGCUUGGAACGCUUCGCAGUGAAGAUCGUGCUCGAUCGGUGCGCGCCCUACACCGCGAGAAAUAAAUCACUUAAAACACACAAACCGAAACCACAUAUUGGCAGUGGGAAUAUCGUAUUAUUUUGUUGAACACGACGACGACGACGACGACGAACUUCGCGUGUAAAUUAGCAAGCGUUCGCAAGAAACAAGAAACAAAAAAAAAUCCGUACCGCGGCACGGCAAACAUUUUCAACCAAAAAAACAACAAAAGUACGAAAAGUUUUGUUGUCGGGAAAAGAUACAACAGAAAUACAACAGAAAUUGGCUGAAAGUUUGUGAAAAAAAAGAUACCAGAAAAGAAACGUUAAAAGCGAGUGAAAUUUGUGUCAUAAGCAAAGCCAAACACACAUAAGCGCAAAGCCGAAACCAAAAC